rnacentral:lncRNA from 1 species
GCCUCAGCUCUAUCCUGAUAUGGUCUGUCCCUCUCACCAUUAGCUUUCAACAGAGCCUCAUUUGACAGCUCCUCUCCUCUCUCAUCAGAUGUGGCUUCCAUUGCAUAACUACCGCUACUGGUUCCCUUCUCAACAUGCAAUGCCUGCAAAUUCGACCAUAUUUCUUGGGCAAGCACAACGACCUCCUGAAAUUGUUCAGGGUUUAUGGCAGUUGACCUGGACGGUGAUAAAGUAUCCGAGGCAUGACGUCUCUCAAACUCGUCUACGGCUUGAAAGCCAACAUGCAAGGACAUAACUUGAGGCUCUUUCACCGGAUCACUGAUGCAGAAUUUAGGAGACAGAAGAGCUUUCUCCAAGGAAAGAAACUCCAUGUUCUUAGAUUUCUUCAGCUUGCUGAAAUAUCCACCG